GAUGAAGAACGUAGCGAAAUGCGAUACUUGGUGUGAAUUGCAGAAUCCCGUGAACCAUCGAGUCUUUGAACGCAAGUUGCGCCCGAAGCCAUUAGGCCGAGGGCACGCCUGCCUGGGUGUCACACGUCGUUGCCCCCCCAUCUACUCCUUCGGGAUUGCGGGGGGCGGAUGAUGGCCUCCCGUGCGCCUCGCCGCGCGGUUGGCAUAAAUGCCAAGUCCUCGGCGACGCACGCCACGACAAUCGGUGGUUGCGAAACCUCGGUUGCCCGUCGUGUGCGGUCGUCGCGCAUCGAGGGCUCGAAAAAAUUGCCGGGUUCCGGCUCGGCUUUCAACGCGACCCCAGGUCAGGCGGGGUUACCCGCUGAAUUUAAGCAUAUCAAUAAGCGGAGGA
rnacentral:misc_RNA from 1 species